rnacentral:rRNA from 1 species
UACGUAGGGGGCUAGCGUUGUCCGGAUUUAUUGGGCGUAAAGAGCUCGUAGGCGGUUCGGUAAGUCGGGUGCGAAAUCUCCACGCUCAACGUGGAGGGGCCACCCGAUACUGCCAUGACUCGAGUCCGGUAGGGGAGUGUGGAAUUCCCGGUGUAGCGGUGAAAUGCGCAGAUAUCGGGAGGAACACCCGUAGCGAAGGCGGCACUCUGGGCCGGUACUGACGCUGAGGAGCGAAAGCGUGGGUAGCAAACAGG